AUUGAACGCUGGCGGCAUGCCUUACACAUGCAAGUCGAACGGCAGCACGGGAGCAAUCCUGGUGGCGAGUGGCGAACGGGUGAGUAAUAUAUCGGAACGUGCCCGGUCGUGGGGAUAACGUAGCGAAAGCUACGCUAAUACCGCGUACGAUCUACGGAUGAAAGCGGGGAUCGCAAGACCUCGCGCGAUUGGAGCGGCCGAUAUCAGAUUAGGUAGUUGGUGAGGUAAAGGCUCACCAAGCCGACGAUCUGUAGCUGGUCUGAGAGGACGACCAGCCACACUGGGACUGAGACACGGCCCAGACUCCUACGGGAGGCAGCAGUGGGGAAUUUUGGACAAUGGGCGCAAGCCUGAUCCAGCAAUGCCGCGUGCAGGACGAAGGCC
rnacentral:rRNA from 1 species